rnacentral:lncRNA from 1 species
CUUGUAGAAAAACAAGAUGAGGUAGUGGCUUAGGCCACAGAGGGAUUUAGGAACAUCUAGACCUUUUAAAUCUAUUUUGAUAGAGUUUUCAGCAUGGAAGUAUGGAAUAAAAGGAAGAACCUCCUGCCUGAAGUAAUUUUAGCUUUGAACUGCUUCCUAAAGUUAGGGCAGAAGCAGAUGUUUUCUCUUUUCCUGGCUGGAGAAUCCUGCCCCAGCCCACCUGUGACUGAGUCAGUAUGUGGGGCAACUCCCUAAUUCACCCCAAGGAGAUUCAGCCAGGCUCAUGCCAACUAUCUGCACUAUUGAGCUAAUCUCCUUUUAUUGAGCCUGAAGCAAAUUAGGGCAUGCAUGUGUUAACGCACAACCUGCAGAAAAAAAAGGUAUGAGGUAGGUAUGAGCAACUACUGUGAACCAGAGCUGGCACUCCUGGAUCCAGGAGAAAGUGUCUGUCCUUGAUCACAGAUCCCUAUGCCAACCCCCUUCUCACAAAACACAGCAUUCUCUCUCUUGCUCUAUAGCGUAAGGAUUAAAGCCUUUACCUCAGGCUGGAGAGACGGAGUUUUAACAUUUUUCCUGCUCAAGGGAACUUGAAUCCACAUGCUCUGGAUGUCCAGUUUUCAGAUUACUUAGCAUUUCAGAACUGGAUACUUUGUUCUUCCAAUAGGAGGCUUCUGCAAUGAACUCUGAAAUAAGAUAACAGAUGCUCUCAUUACCUAGUGACACUCUUGCCUACAGAUCAUAGGAUGAGAAAGAUCAGGAGCCAAGGCUUCUCCGGCCCUGUGACUGAGUGUCCAUUGUGUGCUGUACUUUUCCUACCAUCUCAUGAGCCGAGCACCACUGCACAGCACUUCUUCAGGAACCCUGGAAUCUCGUGUUCUGACCUACAAAGCACUUCACGCAGCAACAUCUGAAUCAGCUGACAUCAGUAAGGGUAGUUGGUGUCUGUUUACCAAGGUAUUGCUGUAAAGACUUCAUGGGUAGUGUUGAAGGAGCUGGCCCUUUAAGUUCAUAUAAAACUUCUAAGAAUUUUGGAAUUUGUUAUCUUGUAAGUGAUCUAUAUCCUGUAAAAAAAAAAAAUGGCUGAGAGUAACAUAUCCUAUGACUUCUUGUAUAUUCUUAUGGUAAAUAAGAUUUAGUAACAGUAUACUCUACUGAUUAUCCCUUUUAGAUGUAAUAGACUUUACUUAGGUCCUUCGCCUUAGAGAGACAAUUAUCCUAUGCAAAAUUAUAAAGCCACGCGAACUGUACAGGAGCUGCUAAUAUUACUGUACGGUGAAUGUAGCCACUGCCUUAUAAC